rnacentral:rRNA from 1 species
CCUACGGGAGGCAGCAGUGAGGGAUAUUGCACAAUGGGGGGAACCCUGAUGCAGCGACGCCGCGUGGGUGAAGGAGUGCUUCGGCAUGUAAAGCCCUAUCGGCAGGGAAGAAGCAAGACGGUACCUGACUAAUAAGCCCCGGCUAACUACGUGCGAGCAGCCGCGGUAAUACGUAGGGGGCGAGCGUUAUCCGGAUUCACUGGGUGUAAAGGGAGCGUAGACGGGCAUGCAAGCCAGGGGUGAAAGCCCGGGGCCCAACCCCGGGACUGCCCUUGGAACUGCAUGGCUGGAGGGCGGGAGGGGCAGGCGGAAUUCCGGGUGUAGCGGUGAAAUGCGUAGAUAGCAGGAGGAACACCGGCGGCGAAGGCGGCCUGCUGGACCGCGACUGACGUUGAGGCUCGAAAGCGUGGGGAGCGAACAGGAUUAGAUACCCUUGUAGUC